UUCAUCUUUUAUAUACUAGGUUAUGUGAAAUAUCCGUCACUGUCAAUCAAAAAUAUUGGUUUGUCAACUUGUUCUUGAAAGUUGUUUUGAAAAGUGUUAGAUAAUGCCUAAAAAAAGAUAUAAUAGGUAUAAUGAACAAUCGCAGCUGAUGAUUUUAAAUAUAUUGGCUUUUUUUCAACUGGAAAAGGAACAACAGUCCGACACGGAAUUGCACUUCAAAUUGAGAAUGUGAUACAGCAAGCCGCAGAUGCAACAACAUUGAGCACAACAACGAUCGCAAAUAUAAAGAAGAAUGGAUAAAAUCAGAUCAGGAUUACGCAGCCCGUAUAUCUUCCAAGCAAAAGACAGCAAAAACCAAAAUUACAACAUAUUUGAAACAUAGAAUUCGGGACACAAUUUAUUCUAUGUACGCCAGAAAAGAAUAUGUAAUAUUGGCAACAAUAAGAGAAAAGUUCAGGGAAGAAAUUGAAUAUUUUGAGUUUUCCAUUGACUCCUUAAGAAGAUGGAUCAAUAGUAUAGGCUUCAAGUGGAAAAAAUCAAAUAACAGAAAAUAUUUGAUGGACUGGCCAAAUAUUGUCCAUAAAAGAAUCAAUUUUUUAAGGGAGUAUAUCAAAAAUAGAAAUGUCGGUCCGGAAGGUUUUACUCCGUUUUCAUUGAAGAGACGUGGAUUUUUAGCAAGGGAUCGUUUCGUAGUAGCUGGCAAGAUGACACCAAGCACACGGAUUUAAGGAAAAACAGUGAAGGUCAUCGUUAUAUCGUGGUCCACGCCGGAACCAAAGAUGGCUUCAUCAAGGGUGCAAAUUUAAUAUUCAAGAGUGGAUUAAAGAUGGGAGAUUAUCAUGACAAUAUGAACAGGAAAAACUCCGAAAACUGAUUUAAAACUCAGCUGGUUCCAAAUCUUCCCCCAAAGUCAUUUAUAAUCAUGGACAAUGCAAGUUACUAUUCUGGUUUAUUAGAAGAAAUCCCGAGAAAAUCUUGGACAAAGCAGAGACUGACCGAAUGAUUGAAGAAAAAGAAUAUUGGCUUUCCAGAAAAAGCCAUGAAAGAUAAAAUAUGGAGUAUUGCACGCAGAAACUGCCCUAGUGAAAAAAAGUACUUCCUUGAUGAAUAUGUUAAACCUUAAGGACACAAAAUUUUGCGACUGCCACCAUAUCAUUGCCAGUUUAAUGCAAUUGAAAUAGUAUGGUCGGAAUGUAAACGAAAAUAUGAUCAAUAUAUUUCCAAUUUUAAGGGGUCACCUUCAGAAGUUCUGACUACAUGGGAAAGGGUAAUAAACGAAAUUUCUAUAGAUGGCAAAAAUAUGUUUUUCAUACAGAAAAGGUAAUUAAAAAGGUUUGGGAGGCAAUACAAGUGUGUGAUGCCUAUGACAUUCUGCCACUUGUGAUUACGACUGACGAAGACGAAGACAAUAUCUCUGAUUUCCGUUCUGACUCUGACAAUACUGACGAGAUUGAUUAAGCUUUUUUUGUUCUAGCAAAUUUUAUUUUAUGAUCGUCGUUUAAGUAUUCAAUCAUAUCGUUGCAAUUUCAUUAACUUGGUAAUGCAAUAUGGCGUGUUUUUUUUGAGUUUGUAUGUUUUAUUUUUUGGAAUGGUAUUUUCAUUUUAAUAUAUUCCUUCAAGCAGCAUUUUUUUUUCAUGAACAAGUAAAUUAAAUUGUCAGUAUUUAAAUUUUUCCCAGUGAGUUAAAAUAAUUUUAUACCAUUAUUCACAAUUUUUGUAAGCUCGGUUUUGUUACAUCUACUGCUCGUGCCGAAUUCUACUUUUCAAAUAUGUUGUAGAUUUGGUUUUUGCGGUCUUUUGCUUGGAAAAUAUAUGAGCAGCGUAAUCCUGAUCUGAUUUUAUCUCAUUCUUCUUUAUAUUUGUGAUCGUUGUUGUGCUCAAUUUUGUUGCAUCUGCGGCUCGCUCUAUCACAUUCUCAAUUUGAAGUGCAAUUCCGUUUCGGAGUUGUUGUUUAUGUCCCAUUAUUUAUGAUUAAUUAUAAUAAUAUUUAUUAAUUGUUAAGUUUGUUAAUUACAAUAAAUACUACAAGGUUUUUUUUAAUUUUUUGGGAAUGAAAGUAUAUACACGAAUAUAAAGAUAUAAUAAUAUGCUGCUAAAAUUAAUCAUUUGUUAAUUUCUGAACGUAUAAAAAUACAUAGCAGACUAUUAAUUUCUGAAGGCGAUGGUAAAGUUUCUAACCUAAUAUUGAUUGGCAAAAAUAUCUACGCCAUACGUUUUUUCUCACCUGGAUGACGUAACUACAAAUGGGUAUAAUUUCGACUAUAGUACUCCACCAGGCAUUAAAUCUAGAAGACUAUGACAGAAGACUAGAUUAUUGUCAUUGGAUGGAGAAUAUGUUGCUCGAAAAUCCAAAUUUUCUCAACGAAAUUUUAUGGACAGACGAAGCAACGUUCAAUAGUGACGGAGGAGUUAACAGACAUAAUAUGCACUAUUGGUCUGAAACUAACCCUCCUUGGAUGCGCGAGAUCCAGCAUCAGGGAAGGUGGAGUGUUAAUGUCUGGUGCGGUGUAAUAGGAUCUCAGGUUAUAGGUCCAUUUUUAUUUGAUUUGAGCCUAACUGGAGAACGAUAUCUUGGAUUUUUAAGAAAUGAGCUUCCAGCAUUAUUAGAAGAGGUGCCUCUGUUUAUAAGAGCCAACAUGUUUUUACAACAUGACGGAUGCCCGGCUCAUUUCAAUCGCCAGAUUUAACCUGUCUUGACUUUUAUUUAUGGGGUAGAAUAAGUCAUUGUAUUUUCUUCGAUUCCUACCAAUAGAGAAAAUAUGAAACAGCGAAUAAGGGGCGCUAUUCGGAGUUUACCAGCCGCAGAAAUAGAGGCAGCCGUGGAAUCAACCCGACGAAGAGUUCAAAAUUGUAUAGAACAAGACGGACGACAAUUCGAACACCUCGGCAGGCAUUAGAUUAGUGUAGGUAUUAAAAUAAUAUUAUUUUUUAUUCCAUUUAAAAUAAGCAAGAUUUUUAUCUUU